rnacentral:rRNA from 1 species
AAUAUUGGACAAUGGGCGAAAGCCUGAACCAGCCAUGCCGCGUGUGUGAAGAAGGUCUUCGGAUUGUAAAGCACUGUAAGUUGGGAGGAAGGUCAGUAAGUUAAUACCUUGCUGUUUUGACGUUACCGACAGAAUAAGCACCGGCCAACUUCGCUCCAGCAGCCGCGGUAAUACGAAGGGUGCAAGCGUUAAUCGGAAUUACUGGGCGUAAAGGGGGUGUUGGUGGGUUGUUAAGUUGGAAGGGAAAGCCACGGGCUCAACCUGGGGACUGCUUUCAAAACUGCUGAGCUAGAGUACGGUAGAGGGUAGUGGAAUUUCCUGUGUAGCGGUGAAAUGCGUAGAUAUAGGAAGGAACACCAGUGGCGAAGGCGACUACCUGGACUGAUACUGACACUGAGGUGCGAAAGCGUGGGGAGCAAACA